rnacentral:rRNA from 1 species
AUGGUUCUAAAGGGUAAACUAGAUGAAAUGCGAUCUUUGGAUAAGGACAUUGACAUCCAAAAGUUCAAAGUUGGGCAACAUGAGACUCUUGAACGCAAGAUUGCCUCCUUACCAAAUAUACAAUCAAAGGAAGCUGGAAAUAUUGUAGAUAUUAUUCAAGAGAAUGUGGACCAUGGGGCUAUCACAGGAGAUUUAAGAGCGGAGCUCAGAAAACUGAAGCAAGCUUAUGAGACCCUGAGCUCAAACAAGGAUAAGGAAAUUUCUAAAUUACUUGAAAUGAAGGAUUUUCUUUUGAACCAACUGAUGAGAAUGGACAAGGAUAAUGCAGAGCUCCUUCAGAAAAAGGAAGUGGAGGCAGCACAUGCUAACGAAGCAGCACAAAAGCUUCAGCAGAAUGUAGAGGAGCUGCAAGUGUCAGUCCGAUAUAAGGAUGAUGAGAUUGGCAGAUUGCGAGCAGAAGCGGGGGCCCUAAAGAUAAAGGAAGUGGAGGCAGCACAAGCGAACGAAGCAGCACAAAAGCUUCAGCAGAAUGUAGAGGAGCUGCAAGUGUCAGUCCGAUAUAAGGAUGAUGAGAUUGGCAGAUUGCGAGCAGAAGCGGGGCUCCUGAAGAUAAAGGAAGUGGAGGCAGCACAAGCUAACAAAGCAGUGCAAACGCUUUAG